rnacentral:lncRNA from 1 species
AUAGAACUAGGUUACUAUAUUAUUAAUAGCAUCAACUCAUUUGUACUAUUAGGUUUUCAGUUUUUGGAUGAAGGGAUAUGCGGUUAGGUUAAUAGUGAUUUUCUAGAGUUGACUUGAUGAUUAAUUGAAUAAUAUAAUCUAACAAGUUGAAAUAAUAAAAAAGAUAGAUCAACGGUAAAAAAGUUGAAAUUAUAAAACACUUGAUGCUGUCGACAGUAUAACAACCGGAAUCAUAUAUACAUAUACACACACAAGCACGACCCUAAAAAAAAACUUUACAUAGAAUAAAAAUUAUCAGAUAUUUU